rnacentral:rRNA from 1 species
AAACUGGGAUUAGAUACCCCACUAUGCUUAGCCUCAAACAUCGAAUGAACUUAACCAUUUCAUUCCGCCCGGGAAUUACGGACACCAGUCUAAAAACCAAAGGACUUGGCGGUGCUUUAAACCCCCCUAGAGGAGCCUGUUCUA